CCAGACUAUUCCUCGGGCCCCCACGUCGUCAUCUGACGUUCCCGUCCUGUUGCUAAAUCAGCCGAAUAUUAACAAAAGACCUCAUAGUUGAGGCCUUAGUGUUGUUCAAAAAAUAUCUUGCACCAUCAGGGGGGAGGGGAUAGAAAAAUAUUUAGGG